AUUGAACGCUGGCGGCAGGCCUAACACAUGCAAGUCGAGCGGAGCUGCGGACGGGUGCGUAAUGCCUAGGAAUCUGCCUGGUAGUGGGGGAUAACGUCAGCUAACGGGCGCUAAUACCGCAUACUAUCAGAUGACCCUAGGUCGUAUUAGCUAGUUGGGGGGGUAAAGGCCUACCAAGGCGACGAUCCGUAACUGGUCUGAGAGGAUGAUCAGUCACACUGGAACUGAGACACGGUCCAGACUCCUAGGGUAGGCAGCAGUGGGGAAUAUUGGACAAUGGGCGAAAGCCUGAUCCAGACAGGCCGCGUGUGUGAAGAAGGUCUUCGGAUUGUAAAGCCCUUUAAGUUGGGAGGCGGUACCAACAGAAUAAGCACCGGCUAACUUCGUGCCAGCAGCCGCGGUAAUUC
rnacentral:rRNA from 1 species